rnacentral:rRNA from 1 species
UACGUAGGGGGCAAGCGUUGUCCGGAUUUAUUGGGCGUAAAGAGCUCGUAGGCGGCUCGGUAAGUCGGAUGUGAAACCUCCAGGCUCAACCUGGAGACGCCAUCUGAUACUGCCGUGGCUUGAGUCCGGUAGAGGAGCAGGGAAUUCCUGGUGUAGCGGUGAAAUGCGCAGAUAUCAGGAGGAACACCAGCGGCGAAGGCGGGUCUCUGGGCCGGAACUGACGCUAAGGAGCGAAAGCGUGGGGAGCGAACAGG